rnacentral:rRNA from 1 species
AGAGUUUGAUCAUGGCUCAGGAUGAACGCUGGCGGCGUGCCUAACACAUGCAAGUCGAGCGAUUCUCUUCGGAGAAGAGCGGCGGACGGGUGAGUAACGCGUGGGUAACCUGCCCUGUACACACGGAUAACAUACCGAAAGGUAUGCUAAUACGGGAUAAUAUAAGAAAUUCGCAUGUUUUUCUUAUCAAAGCUCCGGCGGUACAGGAUGGACCCGCGUCUGGUUAGCUAGUUGGUGAGGUAACGGCUCACCAAGGCGACGAUCAGUAGCCGACCUGAGAGGGUGAUCGGCCACAUUGGAACUGAGACACGGUCCAAACUCCUACGGGAGGCAGCAGUGGGGAAUAUUGCACAAUGGGCGAAAGCCUGAUGCAGCAACGCCGCGUGAGCGAUGAAGGCCUUCGGGUCGUAAAGCUCUGUCCUCAAGGAAGAUAAUGACGGUACUUGAGGAGGAAGCCCCGGCUAACUACGUGCCAGCAGCCGCGGUAAUACGUAGGGGGCUAGCGUUAUCCGGAUUUACUGGGCGUAAAGGGUGCGUAGGCGGUCUUUUAAGUCAGAAGUGAAAGGCUACGGCUUAACCGUAGUAAGCUUUUGAAACUGGAGGACUUGAGUGCAGGAGAGGAGAGUGGAAUUCCUAGUGUAGCGGUGAAAUGCGUAGAUAUUAGGAGGAACACCAGUAGCGAAGGCGGCUCUCUGGACUGUAACUGACGCUGAGGCACGAAAGCGUGGGGAGCAAACAGGAUUAGAUACCCUGGUAGUCCACGCCGUAAACGAUGAGUACUAGCUGUCGGAGGUUACCCCCUUCGGUGGCGCAGCUAACGCAUUAAGUACUCCGCCUGGGGAGUACGCUCGCAAGAGUGAAACUCAAAUGAAUUGACGG